rnacentral:tRNA from 2 species
GCCGCUUUAGCUCAGUAGGUAGAGCGCAUCCAUGGUAAGGAUGAGGUCGCCGGUUCAAAUCCGGCAAGUGGCU